rnacentral:rRNA from 1 species
CCUACGGGUGGCAGCAGUGAGGAAUAUUGGUCAAUGGACGAAAGUCUGAACCAGCCAUGCCGCGUGAAGGAAGACGGCCCUAUGGGUUGUAAACUUCUUUUUUAAAGGAAUAAAAUGAGGCACGUGUGUCUUUUUGAAUGUAUUGUAUGAAUAAGGAUCGGCUAAAUCCGUGCCAGCAGCCGCGGUAAUACGGAGGAUCCGAGCGUUACCCGGAUUUAUUGGGUUUAAAGGGAGCGUAGAUGGGUUGUUAAGUUAGAUGUGAAAGUUUGCGGCUCAACCGUGAAAUUGCAAUUGAUACUGGCAGUCUAGAGAACAGUUGAGGUAGGCGGAAUGCAUGGUGUAGCGGUGAAAUGCUUAGAGAUCACACAGAACACCGAUUGCGAAGGCAGCUUACCAAACUAUGACUGACGUUGAGGCACGAAAGUGUGGGUAGCAAACAGGAUUAGAUACCCUUGUAGUC